rnacentral:lncRNA from 1 species
AUGUGAUGGACAUCAUUAUCCAAAGUACAUGUAUGAAGAUACAAAUUGAUGUGAACAUAUUUUAUAUACAAACAGAGAUAUGAAAACUUGUGCUCUAUUUGUGUAAUAAGAAUUGUAAUGCAUUCCACUGUCAUGUAUUUAAAAAAAUAAAUUCAAUUUAAAAAAUCAAUGAAAUCUUCUUGGACAGGGAGGGCCACAGUCUGUGUUAUACAGUCAAGUAGGGCAGCAAAUUGUCACAUGGAGUCAUGGAAUGCUCCUAUUUGUACAAAACAUUAAAAGAAUACAAAGACAUGAACACAUAAAUACAAUGGAAGUUCAUAUAAAAAUGCAGAAUGAUGUGGAAGAUACACAAAGACAUCAGAAUAUACAAAAAUGGCAAUAAGGGCUUUCUUUGUGGGAAUGAACUGGGAUUGUGGAAGUAGGUACAGUAUCUGUUGAGUUUCAUGAUUUUUAGAUAUUGUUUUCUUGUCACAUACAUGUUUAUGUCAGAAUGAAAAUAUGUUUUCUAUAGUUCACUCUAAAGAAGUAAUGAAAAGAGGGAUUUCGCCAUGUCCCAGAACUAGGCAGACUUAUUUGGAAGUGAGCCAGGAGGCAAGGACUGACCUCCUAUGAGCUUAUCAGCUAGCUGGCCCCUGCACACACUCAGGUGCCUGCUAAGGCUCUUUCCUUUUGACAUCACAUUUUACACCAAUCCCUACAUCUACAUGCGUUCACAAGUAAGAUUCAGCCUAAAAUUGCUGGUAUUUUCUAAUUUUUUCACAUUUAUGUAUGAUUGUUAUACCCACUGCAUAAAAAGAAUGUGGAAUAUUUUCUUCUUUUUCUGUGCCCUGGAAAAUUCAAGU